rnacentral:snoRNA from 1 species
UGUAAACCAAAAUUAGAAAUGUUUUAAUCAAGAAGUUAUCUUACUCCUUCCAUCAUGCUCCCGUUGUACCGCGAUGGGCAAAAGGUCAUGACACUCUGUGAUGUCCCUGUCUGCUGUUCCUUGGUGAGCCCAGAGAAGAUGUUGUGGUCGGCAUGCAGUACCUUAGUUACAAAAGGAUUUUGGUCAAUGGAAGGGCUGGGAUCUGGGGUUAUGAUCUGACGUUUUCAAGCUGAUACC